rnacentral:rRNA from 1 species
CCUACGGGUGGCUGCAGUGAGGAAUAGUGGUCAAUGGGAGGAAUCCUGAACCAGCCAUGCCGCGUGCAGGACGACGGCUCUACGAGUUGUAAACUGCUGUUGUAGCGGGGUAAAAUGCGCUACGAGUAGGGUUUUGAAAGUACGGUACGAAUAAGGAUCGGCUAACUCCGUGCCGGCAGCCGCGGUAAUACGGAGGAUCCGAGCGUUAUCCGGAUUCAUUGGGUUUAAAGGGUGCGUAGGUUGUUUUAUAAGUUAGCGGUGAACUACCGAUGCUCAACCUCGGGGCUGCCGCUCAUACGGGCGGACUAGAGCUCGGAUGCAGCAGGCGGAAUGUGUCGUGUAGCGG